rnacentral:ribozyme from 1 species
AAUAUAAAUGAACAAAAAAGCCAUUGAAAUGCCUGGGAAAAAAAGUCCUACUAAUGGUACAAGAAUUGAAGGUAAAUAAGGAGCUGUCAUAUUCUUUUCUGUUAUUUUUUUUUUUUUUUUUUUUUUUUUUUUUUUUUUUUU